CCUGGCUCAGAACGAACACUGGCGGCGUGGAUUAGGCAUGCAAGUCGAGCGGGAUCCUGUUGAUCAAUCCUUCGGGAGAGAAACUUCAGGUGAGAGCGGCGAACGGGUGAGUAAUAUAUGGGUAAUCUGCCUUGAAGCCCGGGAUAGCCAUUGGAAACGAUGGGUAAUACCGGAUGUGCUCGCUCCGCACCUGCGGAGUUAUGUAAAGGUGGGGAUCUUCGGACCUGCCACUUUAAGAUGGGCCCAUAUCCUAUCAGCUUGUUGGUGAGGUAACAGCUCACCAAGGCUUUGACGGGUAGCCGACCUGAGAGGGUGACCGGCCACACUGGGACUGAGACACUGCCCAGACUCCUACGGGAGGCUGCAGUCGAGAAUCAUUGUCAAUGUACGAAAGUAUGAACAUGCGACGCCGCGUGGAGGACGAAGGCCUUCGGGUUGUAAACUCCUGUCAUGAGGGAGGAACCGCAGACGGUUAAUACCCGUUCUGUUUGACAGUACCUCAAGAGGAAGUCACGGCUAACUCUGUGCCAGCAGCCGCGGUAAUACAGAGGUGGCAAGUGUUGUUCGGAUUUACUGGGCGUAAAGGGUCCGCAGGCGGUUCUGUGUGUCAGAUGUGAAAAUCCACGGCUCAACCGUGGAACUGCAUUUGAAACUACAGAACUAGAGUACAGCAGGGGAGAGGGAAUUCAUGGUGUAGCGGUGAAAUGCGUAGAUAUCAUGAAGAACACCGGUGGCGAAAGCGCCUCUCUGGACUGAUACUGACGCUCAUGGACGAAAGCCGGGGGAGCGAAAAGGAUUAGAUACCCUUGUAGUCCCGGCCAUAAACGGUGUGCACUUGAUGUGGGAGGAUUACCCCCUUCCGUGUCGGAGCUAACGCGUUAAGUGCACCGCCUGGGAAGUACGGCCGCAAGGUUCGAACUCAAAGGAAUUGACGGGGGCCCGCACAAGCGGUGGAGCAUGUGGCUUAA
rnacentral:rRNA from 1 species